rnacentral:lncRNA from 1 species
CUUUUGUCCAGUUUAUGGCCCCUCUGGGGGAUGUCACAGGGUGCCACACACAGCGCUGGCACAAUGAGGGGCAGGGGGAAAGCAGCAGCGCCCAGGAGCUGGCAGGAGGAGCUCAGCACUGUUACCUGUGCAGGGCGGUUCUGCGCUUGCCACUCCUCUGGGCGAGGGUGAAGGGCAGCUCCCUCACCUCCUCCCGAUAUCUGCCCACUGCUAGGCACAGGCAGCUCCCUCCCAAGGCAGGCACGAGUGCCACACGGAAGUCACAGCACCUCUCGGUGCACAUGAGACCUCUGAGACCUCGGGCCAAGGAGCUGGGGAAGGAAACCGCAGCCUGAGAGAGCCCAGGAGGCUCCAGCCCAUCCUGCACGCCAGCCCUCUCCUUAGGGAUCUGCCCUGAGGGGCACCGAGGAAGGCUCUCCACUUCACCAUGCAGGAUGAAAUUCUGCUGACUCCCUGCAGGGAAUCCCCUGCUGAGGACACAGACUCCUUUGCCUCCCCGGUAAGCUCUGCUCCUUCUGCAUCUGCAGCUCAGAGAGGGGACAAAUCCCCAUUUCCCCUGCUCAUUCCCAACUCCCCUCUACACAGCCACAAUGGGGUCCAAACCUCUGAGAAGCUGGAGCUGGAAAGGAGAGCUCUCAGCUUUCCAUUCCUAAUAAUUCCCUGCUGGUUUUGUGGGCAGAAUGAAGAGAAGUGGGAUUUUGUCCUGGUGAGUGACAUCCACGAAAUGGGCAGUGAGAAGGAGAUCAAGAGAAAGAAGUUCCUGGAUGAGCUGAGCAAGAAGGGUUUCACCAUCAAGGUGAGAGGCUCUGGGAGGAAAAGGCAGCAGAUACUUGGCCUGACUUGGGCUCCUGCAUCCCAGAAAAUGGGAGAGGCCUGAACCAUUGAGCUGUUCAAUACAUCAGAGCUGGAAAAGGACCCACUUGCUCAACCAGCAGAGAAAGCAGAGAAAGACCCCAGCCCCAGGACUCACACAGCCCCCAGCCCGUCCAGCUCUGGCUCUUCCCUGCCUCUCUGGCUCUGUUUUAACAGCCCUUCUCUUCCUCUCACCAGAAAAUCGAGGACACAAAGCUCUUUUAUGGAGUCCGUGCCCCGCCGCACAUCUUCUGGAAAUACCAGCGUCUCCUGACGAACCCCAACAGCAGGCAGCAAAACUCCAGUGCCUACCAGGACGUCCCAAUGACCACCAGGUGGGUGCUGAGCUGAUUUCCAGCCUCCUGCAAUCACUGUUCUCCACACCAAAAUCCAUUUUCCAAAAGGCUGUCCCAGCCUUUUCACUUUCCACAGAACCUUCCUUCAUCUCCCACAUACAAACCUGAUGGCUUCUCAUUGUCCACAUUUCUCCUUCCCUUGCUUCCCUGGAUUUUAGUGCACACCUUCUCCCUUCGCUGCCCUGUUUUCCUGAGGCACACAACACAAGUCUGUAUCCCAGGGCAGGCUUUAAGCAGAGUUUCUCUUGUUCAGGAUACGGGUCGUGCAUUUCAUCCUGCAGAACACUGUGACAUCCGACUUAGGUAAGGGAACGGGGAUCACAGGGGUGAUGCUGCUCAGCCUGGAUCUGCAGGAAGAAUUCUGCCCAAUCCUGGGCACUGGCAUCCCAGCUGCCUUGCCAUCCUGGGGGGAG